GGUUAAGCGACUAAGCGUACACGGUGGAUGCCCUGGCAGUCAGAGGCGAUGAAGGACGUGCUAAUCUGCGAUAAGCGUCGGUAAGGUGAUAUGAACCGUUAUAACCGGCGAUUUCCGAAUGGGGAAACCCAGUGUGAUUCGUCACACUAUCAUUAACUGAAUCCAUAGGUUAAUGAGGCGAACCGGGGGAACUGAAACAUCUAAGUACCCCGAGGAAAAGAAAUCAACCGAGAUUCCCCCAGUAGCGGCGAGCGAACGGGGAGCAGCCCAGAGCCUGAAUCAGUGUGUGUGUUAGUGGAAGCGUCUGGAAAGGCGCGCGAUACAGGGUGACAGCCCCGUACACAAAAAUGCACAUACUGUGAGCUCGAUGAGUAGGGCGGGACACGUGGUAUCCUGUCUGAAUAUGGGGGGACCAUCCUCCAAGGCUAAAUACUCCUGACUGACCGAUAGUGAACCAGUACCGUGAGGGAAAGGCGAAAAGAACCCCGGCGAGGGGAGUGAAAAAGAACCUGAAACCGUGUACGUACAAGCAGUGGGAGCACGCUUAGGCGUGUGACUGCGUACCUUUUGUAUAAUGGGUCAGCGACUUAUAUUCUGUAGCAAGGUUAACCGAAUAGGGGAGCCGAAGGGAAACCGAGUCUUAACUGGGCGUUAAGUUGCAGGGUAUAGACCCGAAACCCGGUGAUCUAGCCAUGGGCAGGUUGAAGGUUGGGUAACACUAACUGGAGGACCGAACCGACUAAUGUUGAAAAAUUAGCGGAUGACUUGUGGCUGGGGGUGAAAGGCCAAUCAAACCGGGAGAUAGCUGGUUCUCCCCGAAAGCUAUUUAGGUAGCGCCUCGUGAAUUCAUCUCCGGGGGUAGAGCACUGUUUCGGCAAGGGGGUCAUCCCGACUUACCAACCCGAUGCAAACUGCGAAUACCGGAGAAUGUUAUCACGGGAGACACACGGCGGGUGCUAACGUCCGUCGUGAAGAGGGAAACAACCCAGACCGCCAGCUAAGGUCCCAAAGUCAUGGUUAAGUGGGAAACGAUGUGGGAAGGCCCAGACAGCCAGGAUGUUGGCUUAGAAGCAGCCAUCAUUUAAAGAAAGCGUAAUAGCUCACUGGUCGAGUCGGCCUGCGCGGAAGAUGUAACGGGGCUAAACCAUGCACCGAAGCUGCGGCAGCGACGCUGAUGCGUUGUUGGGUAGGGGAGCGUUCUGUAAGCCUGUGAAGGUGUGCUGUGAGGCAUGCUGGAGGUAUCAGAAGUGCGAAUGCUGACAUAAGUAACGAUAAAGCGGGUGAAAAGCCCGCUCGCCGGAAGACCAAGGGUUCCUGUCCAACGUUAAUCGGGGCAGGGUGAGUCGACCCCUAAGGCGAGGCCGAAAGGCGUAGUCGAUGGGAAACAGGUUAAUAUUCCUGUACUUGGUGUUACUGCGAAGGGGGGACGGAGAAGGCUAUGUUGGCCGGGCGACGGUUGUCCCGGUUUAAGCGUGUAGGCUGGUUUUCCAGGCAAAUCCGGAAAAUCAAGGCUGAGGCGUGAUGACGAGGCACUACGGUGCUGAAGCAACAAAUGCCCUGCUUCCAGGAAAAGCCUCUAAGCAUCAGGUAACAUCAAAUCGUACCCCAAACCGACACAGGUGGUCAGGUAGAGAAUACCAAGGCGCUUGAGAGAACUCGGGUGAAGGAACUAGGCAAAAUGGUGCCGUAACUUCGGGAGAAGGCACGCUGAUAUGUAGGUGAAGCGACUUGCUCGUGGAGCUGAAAUCAGUCGAAGAUACCAGCUGGCUGCAACUGUUUAUUAAAAACACAGCACUGUGCAAACACGAAAGUGGACGUAUACGGUGUGACGCCUGCCCGGUGCCGGAAGGUUAAUUGAUGGGGUCAGCGCAAGCGAAGCUCUUGAUCGAAGCCCCGGUAAACGGCGGCCGUAACUAUAACGGUCCUAAGGUAGCGAAAUUCCUUGUCGGGUAAGUUCCGACCUGCACGAAUGGCGUAAUGAUGGCCAGGCUGUCUCCACCCGAGACUCAGUGAAAUUGAACUCGCUGUGAAGAUGCAGUGUACCCGCGGCAAGACGGAAAGACCCCGUGAACCUUUACUAUAGCUUGACACUGAACAUUGAGCCUUGAUGUGUAGGAUAGGUGGGAGGCUUUGAAGUGUGGACGCCAGUCUGCAUGGAGCCGGCCUUGAAAUACCACCCUUUAAUGUUUGAUGUUCUAACGUUGACCCGUGAUCCGGGUUGCGGACAGUGUCUGGUGGGUAGUUUGACUGGGGCGGUCUCCUCCUAAAGAGUAACGGAGGAGCACGAAGGUUGGCUAAUCCUGGUCGGACAUCAGGAGGUUAGUGCAAUGGCAUAAGCCAGCUUGACUGCGAGCGUGACGGCGCGAGCAGGUGCGAAAGCAGGUCAUAGUGAUCCGGUGGUUCUGAAUGGAAGGGCCAUCGCUCAACGGAUAAAAGGUACUCCGGGGAUAACAGGCUGAUACCGCCCAAGAGUUCAUAUCGACGGCGGUGUUUGGCACCUCGAUGUCGGCUCAUCACAUCCUGGGGCUGAAGUAGGUCCCAAGGGUAUGGCUGUUCGCCAUUUAAAGUGGUACGCGAGCUGGGUUUAGAACGUCGUGAGACAGUUCGGUC
rnacentral:rRNA from 1 species